UUUACUAUAGGAUCCGAGUUAUAUAUAUGUUGGAGUGGAUAUAACUUCAUAUAUUAAUAAUGUAACCCAUAAUUACUUAAUUAUAACUAAGCCUUGACCUAACAUUAAAGAUUAAAAACUAAUUAGAAGAUUAACUUUUUGGUAGAUUCAUGAUAGAGGUAUAUAAGUAAAAAAUCAAGUAAAAUUUAUUGUGGUUUAUCAAUUAAAAUACAGGUUCCUCUGAACAGCUAAAUUACCGCCAAAUCUUUUAAAUUUAAAGAACAAAACUACUAAUAAUUUAGUGUAAAUUUAUUUACAAUUAUAAUAGUGGGGUAUCUAAUCCCAGUUU
rnacentral:rRNA from 1 species